UCCUUCAAGAGUUGGGCCAUUGAAAAAAUGCUAAAUUUUGCCAUUAUUUUUCUCAUCCUUCUCACUUUCUUUAUCCAUGGAAAUGCUCAAACUCUUUACAAAUGCAUACCCAACAACUUCUUCACUGCCAAUAGCAGUUAUGAGUCCAGUCUUAAUCUCCUCUUUUCAACUCUCUCAUCCAACGCCCCCGGAACCAACUGAUUCUUCAGUUCUUCUGUCAUCCGUACGUACACCAAACGACACCGUUUUACGGCAUCUUCCAAUGCCGUGGGGACAUCACCGACGGCUCGUGCCGGGAUUGCGUUAUGGAAGCCACUAGAAACAUAGCCCAUCAAUUCUGUCCCUUUACGAAAAGCGCUGUGGUUUGGUAUGACGAUUGUCUGUUGCGUUAUUCCGAUCAAAAUUUCUUUUCUUUUGUGUCCACUGAGCCAUCUUACCCCUUAGAUAGCCGCGUUAUUCCCAUCAAAAUUUCGAUACAAUCCGUGCUGCUACUAACAAUUUCUCAGAGGAAAGUAGGGUGGUGGAAGGUGGAUUUGGUGUUGUCUACAAGGGCAGGCUUGAAAAUGGACAAGAGAUAGCAGUGAAAAGAUUGUCAAGAGGAUCCUUACAAGUUUCUGAAGAGUUCAACAUAGAAAUUAUUCAAAUCGAUGAAACUCAAAAAAAUACACGUCGAAUUGCUGGUACCUAGUAAGUUAAGUAUCAUUCCAUUUUGUAAACUUCUUAGUCUUACUUGUCUUGCUUUAAAAUACUACUUAAAACAACUUUAUCCAGCUUGUUCCUAAUGCUUGGAAUUAUGUUUCUGGAUAAUAUUUGCUUUUGUGUUUAGCGGUUAUAUGUUUCCUGAAUAUGCAAUGCACGGAAACUUCUCUAUCAAAUCUGAUGUGUAUAGCUAUGAAGUGUUGCUGUUGGAGAUUAUAAGCGGAAAGAAAAAUCACACAUUUUCUUUGUUAGGUAUUGGUGAAGACAUGUCGACUUACGCUUGGAAGCUAUGGAAUGAUGGAACUCCAUUAGAAAUACUGGAGUCGGGUUUGAGAGACAAGUGCUCAAGAGAUAUGAGUAAAGACGAAGUUUUGUUGAACAGGGGAAAACAAAGUCUCACGGGUGUCAAUUGUGGCCAUCGUGGUUCCAAUUGCAAUUACUGUCUCGAUAAUUCUAGUUUUUGUGGGAUGGUGGUUGCUGCAUCGAAGAGCAAAGAAGAAAUACACUGCAGUAAAGGAAGACAGCGUUAUUGAUCAGAUGAGCACUGCUGAAUCUUUACAAUUUGAUUUCAAAACAAUCAAUGAUGCUACCAACAAUUUCUCAGAAGAAAACAGGUUAGGUGAAGGUGGCUUUGGUGCAGUCUACAAGGGUAGGCUUGAAAAUGGACAAGAGACAGCUGUGAAGAGACUAUCGAGAGGAUCUUUGCAAGAUUUUGGAAGAGUUCAAGAAUGAGGUUAUGUUGGUUGCUAAGCUUCAACAUAGAAAUCUUGCAAGACUAUUGGGAUUUUGCUUGGUUGGUGGAGAGAAGAUACUCAUCUAUGAAUACAUACCUAAUAAAAGCCUCAAUUUCCGAUGUGUAUAGUUUUGGAGUCUUAAGUCUUCGAAAUUUUAAGUGGCAAGAAAAACAACACCUUUUACUUAUUAGAUAUUGUGGAAGACAUCUGACGUAUGCUUGGAAACUAUGGGCAGAUGGAACAUCAUUAGCUUUGAUGGACUCGAGUUUGAGAGACAGUUACUCAAAACGUCAGGCGCUUAGAUGCAUUCAUAUUGCUUAUUAUGUGUUCAGCAUGACCCACUUUGUAGACCUUCCAUGGCAUCCAUUGUUCUUAUGCUUAACCGUCAUUCCACUACUUUGCCCUUGCCUAAAAAGCCAGCAUUCUUUACGUGCAGUAAAGAUGGUGGCAUUGUGAUAGAAAGUGAUCGAUCUACACGAAUCUCUGAUCAAUGUCUGCUAAUGAAAUAUCUAUGUCUGAGUUGUGCCCACGAUAAUAGAGAAUGUCUCACUGCAUUCUAAAUAUUUUGUAUUUGUUUGUUGCGAUGAAUCAACUUUAGUGUUCCAUAUCUCCUUUUGCGACGAAUCAAAUUUAGAUAAAGGUUUAAGAAAA